AGUGAACGCUGGCGGUAGGCCUAACACAUGCAAGUCGAACGGCAGCACAGUAAGAGCUUGCUCUUACGGGUGGCGAGUGGCGGACGGGUGAGGAAUACAUCGGAAUCUACUUUUUCGUGGGGGAUAACGUAGGGAAACUUACGCUAAUACCGCAUACGACCUACGGGUGAAAGCAGGGGAUCUUCGGACCUUGCGCGAUUGAAUGAGCCGAUGUCGGAUUAGCUAGUUGGCGGGGUAAAGGCACACCAAGGCGACGAUCCGUAGCUGGUCUGAGAGGAUGAUCAGCCACACUGGAACUGAGACACGGGCCAGACUCCUACGGGAGGCAGCAGUGGGGAAAAUUGGAGAAUGGGGGCAAGCCUGAUCCAGCCAUACCGCGUGGGUGAAGAAGGACUUCGGGUUGUAAAGACCGUUUUUUGGGAAAGAAAAGCAGCAGGGUAAUACCCCGCUGUUCUGACGGUACCCAAAGAAUAAGCACCGGCUAACUUCGUG
rnacentral:rRNA from 1 species